GACGAACGCUGGCGGCGUGCUUAACACAUGCAAGUCGAACGCUGAAGCCCUGGCUUUUGUUGGGUUAGAUGAGUGGCGAACGGGUGAGUAACACGUGAGUAACCUGCCCUCUUCUUUGGGAUAACGCCCGGAAACGGGUGCUAAUACUGGAUAUUCACUGAUCUUCGCAUGGGGGUUGGUGGAAAGGUUUGUUCUGGUGGGGGAUGGGCUCGCGGCCUAUCAGCUUGUUGGUGGGGUGAUGGCCUACCAAGGCUUUGACGGGUAGCCGGCCUGAGAGGGUGACCGGUCACAUUGGGACUGAGAUACGGCCCAGACUCCUACGGGAGGCAGCAGUGGGGAAUAUUGCACAAUGGGCGAAAGCCUGAUGCAGCGACGCCGCGUGAGGGAUGGAGGCCUUCGGGUUGUAAACCUCUUUCGCUCAUGGUCAAGCCGCAACUGUGGGUUGUGGUGAGGGUAGUGGGUAAAGAAGCGCCGGCUAACUACGUG
rnacentral:rRNA from 1 species